GACGAACGCUGGCGGCGUGCUUAACACAUGCAAGUCGAACGGACAGGCCCUGCUUGCAGUGUACUCGAGUGGCGAACGGAUGAGUAACACGUGGGUGAUCUACCCUGCACUUCGGGAUAAGCAUGGGAAACUAGGUCUAAUAACGGCCAGGAGCCAUAUUUAGUGUGAUGGUUGGAAAGUUUUGUGGGUGUAGGAUGAGUUCGUGGCGUAUCAGCUUGUUGGUGGAGUAAUGGCCUACCAAGGCGGCGACGGGUAGCCGGCCUGAGAGGGUGGACGGCCACACAGAGUCUUAGGGGAGGCCCAGACUGCGACUGGUGGGCGCAGGGGGGAAGAUUGCAGAAGGGGCGCAGGGCGGAUGCAGAGAGGCCGCGGGGCGGAUGACGGUCUUAGGGUUGUAAACUCCUUGUGCUAGGGACUAAGCUCUUCGUGACGGUACCUAGACAGGAAGCCACGGCUAACUACGUG
rnacentral:rRNA from 1 species